UACGGGGGGAGCAAGCGUUGUUCGGAUUUACUGGGCGUAAAGGGCGCGUAGGCGGCCACGACAAGUCACUUGUGAAAUCUCCGGGCUUAACUCGGAACGGUCAAGUGAUACUGUCGGGCUAGAGUGCAGAAGGGGCAACUGGAAUUCUCGGUGUAGCGGUGAAAUGCGUAGAUAUCGAGAGGAACACCUGCGGCGAAGGCGGCCUUCUGGACGGUUACUGACGCUGAGACGCGAAAGCGUGGGGAGCAAACAGG
rnacentral:rRNA from 1 species